UCUUCCGUAGGUGAACCUGCGGAAGGAUCAUUACCUAGAGUUGCAGGCUUUGCCUGCUAUCUCUUACCCAUGUCUUUUGAGUACCUUACGUUUCCUCGGUGGGUUCGCCCACCGAUUGGACAAAUUUAAACCCUUUGCAGUUGAAAUCAGCGUCUGAAAAAACUUAAUAGUUACAACUUUCAACAACGGAUCUCUUGGUUCUGGCAUCGAUGAAGAACGCAGCGAAAUGCGAUAAGUAGUGUGAAUUGCAGAAUUCAGUGAAUCAUCGAAUCUUUGAACGCACAUUGCGCCCCUUGGUAUUCCAUGGGGCAUGCCUGUUCGAGCGUCAUUUGUACCUUCAAGCUCUGCUUGGUGUUGGGUGUUUGUCUCCUGUAGACUCGCCUUAAAACAAUUGGCAGCCGGCGUAUUGAUUUCGGAGCGCAGUACAUCUCGCGCUUUGCACUCAUAACGACGACAUCCAAAAGUACAUUUUUACACUCUGACCUCGGAUCAGGUAGGGAUACCCGCUGAACUUAAGCAUAUCAAUAAUCGGAGGAAGGAUCAUUACCUCUAGUUGCAUGCUAUGCCUGCUAUGCUUAACAAGGUCGGUUGAGUACUCACCAAUUCACUGGGGGGUUUCCCCCCAGGCGGGCGUAUUUUAU
rnacentral:rRNA from 1 species